rnacentral:rRNA from 1 species
AGGAUGAACGCUAGCGACAGGCUUAACACAUGCAAGUCGAGGGGCAGCGGGGUUGUAGCAAUACAACUGCCGGCGACCGGCGCACGGGUGAGUAACACGUAUGUAACCUGCCCUCUGCAGGGGGAUAAGCGGAAGAAAUUCCGUCUAAUACCGCAUAAUACAAUUUGGAGACAUCUCCGGGUUGUCAAAGGAGUGAUCCGGCAGAGGAUGGACAUGCGGCGCAUUAGCUAGUCGGCGGGGUAACGGCCCACCGAGGCUACGAUGCGUAGGGGUUCUGAGAGGAAGGUCCCCCACACUGGUACUGAGACACGGACCAGACUCCUACGGGAGGCAGCAGUGAGGAAUAUUGGUCAAUGGGCGGAAGCCUGAACCAGCCAAGUCGCGUGAGGGAAGACGGUCCUAUGGAUUGUAAACCUCUUUUGCAGGGGAGCAAGGCGCGGUACGUGUACCGCGAAGGAGAGUACCCUGAGAAAAAGCAUCGGCUAACUCCGUGCCAGCAGCCGCGGUAAUACGGAGGAUGCGAGCGUUAUCCGGAUUUAUUGGGUUUAAAGGGUGCGCAGGCGGACUGUUAAGUCAGCGGUAAAAUGUCGGUGCUCAACACCGGCCGGCCGUUGAAACUGGCAGCCUUGAGUGAGCGAGAAGUAUGCGGAAUGCGUGGUGUAGCGGUGAAAUGCAUAGAUAUCACGCAGAACUCCGAUUGCGAAGGCAGCAUACCGGCGCUCAACUGACGCUCAGGCACGAAAGCGUGGGUAUCGAACAGGCUUAGAUACCCUGGUAGUCCACGCAGUAAACGA